AUGACAUUUUUUUGGGGGGAGGGUAUCUAUGAAAGGUAUAAAAAUGCUGAAGUCCGCUUAUAGAGCAUUAUUGAAUACAGUUAUUUUACCAGUGAGUCGAAACAGAUAAAAGGCAAUAAUGCAUGCUUUGCUCCUUUUCUUGUUGGUUUUUGCCUACGCAAGUUGUGUUCUUGCCCAGUGGCCUUAUUAUUACAUUACGCAUUCCGUCGAAUAUCCAACAAUUUACGGGCAUCACUAUGAUCUGGAUGAUGAUUUCUACAAUUUCUACCACUGGAAGAAAUAAAACAUUUAAUAUUAAAAAAAGACAGUGAAGAUUGAUGGUCAAGGAUACAGAAUGCAGAAAUUUAUCUUACCGCUUUGUUUUAACCGUUAAAGAAAUGUUCUUGAAUGUUUAGUUCUUCUUCUGUUGAUUUACUGUACUUUUUAAUUCAAAUUUAACAAUAAAAAGCAAUAGAAAGUUCA